GGAGAGGUGUCCGAGUGGCUUAAGGAGCACGCUUGGAAAGCGUGUGUAUGGGAAACCAUACCGAGGGUUCGAAUCCCUCUCUCUCCGCCA
rnacentral:tRNA from 1 species